AAACAAAGAAAAACUAGAAAGAAAGAAGCAAAAAAAAACAAAAACAGUGGAGAUACCAAUCUAUUUUUAUAGAGAUGGACAAUCGAGAGAAGAAAGAUCAAAUAAGCAGAGAAGAGAUUCUUAAGAAGAUAAUGGAAUCAUUGGGACCAGACGGUGUCGCUUCAAGAACUCUCCUCGUCGGUGAAGCUGGUAUAGGGAAGACAUGGCUUGCAAAAGAAGUAAGCAAACGUGUAACCCAAGAAAGAUCUUCUAAUUACAAUGUCCUUUGGUUGCAUCUGAACAAAAGGAUUGAAGACGUGAAGUCCCUUUACGAGAACUUAGCUGCUCAGUUAUCGAUAAUUUACGAGUUUGAAGAAGGCGAAGAACCUGAUGAGCUUGAUUACUCUUUAGAGAGCUUGAAAGAGAAGGUUACGCAUGUGAUGAGCAAUAACAAGAAGAAGAAUCUUCUAUUGAUUUUGGAUGAUGAAGGAAGUAUGACAACUGAAAACCAUGUAAUGGAAGACCUAAAUCUCCGGGAGUUUCUUAAUGAACACUCAACUCUUAAGCUUCUAAUCACAAGAAGAGACGAAAGAGAGGAGAAAGAAUCGAUAACGAUCAAAGUCACUCCGCUUACCGAAGACGAGUCACGAAACUUACUCCGCGGUUCUCAAAACUUACUUAAAAUGUUUACGAUCAACAAACCUAGUUUGAUGUCUUGCAUAUUGAGCAAGAGCAAGGGCUUACCAGCUGCGAUCGUUGUUUUAGCCAAGUCCUUACACAACAUCAAGUCAUUUUCUGCGAAACAGAGAAGGAUCAUUGAAGAACUGAUUCUAUCGUCCGAGUCAUUAGACGCAGCUGCUGCUUCAAAGAACGCUAUAGAACGCAACCGCUACAAUCCCGUUUUGCGAUUGAGUUACGAGCUGUUAAAGCUUGAGGAGACGAGCACACGUCCAGUCAUUGCUUGCUUUUGGCAUAUCUUGGACUUCUACAAGUACUCUGGAUGCGCUUACUACCGCGACCUAAUCGUGCACUGGAUGCUUGAAGGGUAUUUUGAUCCAGUUAAGUCGGUUGAAAAAGCUUACCAGGAAGGACAUUCCAUUUUGAUGGAGUUUAUGAAUAGAGGAAUCUUGAAGAUACAAGAAGACAACAUGGUGGUUCCAGAGUUUUCUAUGAGCAAUCUAUUAGACCUUCAAGAUUGUGGAUUCUUUGGAAGAUCUUGUCUUGGAUUCGACAGAGUUUACGGAGGAGACAAGAGAAAAGGUCUUGGAAAAAUCAUCUUAAUCGAUGAUAUGAUACAAACAAUUCAAUCUAAGCAGAAGAACAUCACGACGAUUAUCGCUUGCGGAAAUCGUUUACGUAGAGAAGUUUCCGGAAAGUUCUUUGAGAGACCAGAGAUGCAAGAUCUUGAAGUUGUUGUACUCUUUGAGCCAACGUUCCAAGAUCUUGUUUUGUCUUUAUCUAAGCUUAAUAAACUCCGAGUACUCGUGAUCAGGGACUGCGAUCUUAUCCAAAACAUCAAUGAGCUUACGGAUCUUAAAGGCCUACAUGUUCUUGAAGUCUCUGGUGCAAGUUCUCUGAAUAGUAUUCCUGAUGAUUUCUUCAAGAAAAUGAGUCAGCUUCAAAGUCUUAACCUUUCAGGUCUUGCUAUCAAAUCUUCGCCUUCCACAAUCGAAAACCUAAAAAUGCUCCGUUGCUUCAUCCUAAGAAACUGCUCUGAACUACAAGAUCUGCCUAACUUCAACGUAGCUACAAAAAAGCUAGAAGUUAUCGACAUACGUGGAGCUCGAAAACUCGAGUCUUACUUCGAUAGAGUUAAAGAUUGGAAAGACUAUAAAGGAAAGAACAAGAACUUCGCUCAUCUUCGGAAGCUCGAACACUUGGACUUCUCAGAGACUCAGAUCAUCCGCUUACCGAUAUUUCAUAUGAAAGACUUCAGCACGAUGCCAUCCUUGACACGACUCUUGCUACGUAACUGCACAAGGCUUAAGAGAUUGCCACAGCUUAAGCCCUUGACUAAUCUUCAGAUUCUUGAUGCCUCUGGUGCUACAAGCUUAGUGGAGAUGCUUGAAGUGUGUUUAGAGGAGAAGAAAGAGCUUAGGAUCCUUGAUCUUUCAAAGACAGUACUUCCAGAGUUAGCUGACACGAUCGCAGAUGUUGUUAAUCUCAAUCAGCUUAUACUAAGGAACUGUUCUCAGAUUGAAGAGCUUCCAAGCAUUGAGAAUCUGACGCACCUUGAGGUUUUCGACGUUUGUGGAUGCAAUAAGUUGAAGAAGAUAAAUGGAUCCUUUGGGAAGAUGUCUUACCUCCACAAAGUCAAUCUUUCGGAAACAAAUCUUGGUGAGUUACCUGACAAAAUCUCAGAGCUAUCUAACCUCAAGGAGCUCAUCAUAAGAAACUGUUGCAAGUUAAAGGCUCUUCCAAAUCUUGGAAAGAUGACAUAUCUUGAGAUCCUCGAUGUUUCGGGCUGCACCGAACUGGAGAAAAUCGAAGGAUCAUUCGAGGAUAUGAUUUAUCUUCUCGAGAUCAAUCUCUCAGGGACUAAACUAAAGACGUUUCCAGAGUUGCCAAAACAGAGCAUCUACAAUUCUUCAAAACGCAUUGUUCUCGCGAAUUCAUUUUGUUUAGAGCGAAAAGAGUGGAGCGAUAUAAAGGAAUGUUUAGAAACAAAUUCAGAUGGCUCUAUGUUCUCAAAUGUAGCUGAAGACAUUCACGAAAAAGGAGAGAAACUUGUUCAUCAAGGCGAUAGAUACAGAGUUCUUGAUCCUGAAGUUCCUUUGGGUAUAGAUAUCGUUGAUGUCAACAAACCAAUGAAUCUUGGUACAGAGUAUAUAGCCAAAGCAGAGUAUGUCUCUAUAACAGAGAAUGGAUCUAGAAGCGUAUCUUCCAUCUUCGACGAGUUUCAGAUGAGCUUAGUCAAAGGUUGUUGGGUAGAGAGGUGCAAGAACAUGAAUGUUCUCUUCGAAUCAGAUGAACAACAAGAGAAAGAGAAAUCAUCAUCAUCAUCAUCAUUGGAGAAUCUUUGGAUAUCAAAUCUUCCACUACUAAAAAGCUUGUACAGUAACAAAGGAGGAUUCAUCUUCAAGAACCUUAAGAAGCUAAGCAUAGAUUGUUGUCCAAGCAUCACAUCGCUAUUCUCCGAGAUUCCUGAUAACCUUGAGAUUCUACGAGUGAAGUUCUGUGAUAAGCUGGAGAGGUUGUUUGAAGUAGAAGUAGGAGAAUUAUCGAAGCUUCACAAGCUUCAGCUUCUUGAGUUGCCUGUUUUAUCCACCGUUGGAGCUAAACUCCCGAAUCUGGUGAAAUGCACGAUUGUGAAUUGUCCGAAUUUGAAAGUUGGAGAAGAUGAACAAAAGCUAGGAACAAGUGUAAAAGAAGAAAUUACAGAGGAAUAGCUUCACAAGUCUAUUGAUCUGAAACCCAAACUCCUACUCAGCCCACAGAAGAAGUUAUAAGAAAAGUAUAAAGAGACAAAGGGAACAAUGUCAUAUUUAUUCUUUCCUCAAAAAAAUUUCAAAUCGAUUUGAGUUCGUUUCAAGCAAUGAGUCUGUUCUGGCUAGGAAGAUAUCUUUCCACAGCAUGGAGGGGUAAGGAAUCGGCCUACAAGGGAAACGGGUGAAACUUCAGCCAAACCCUGCAGGUCCAACAACUCGGUGCAGCCCAAUGAUCACCGAUACAGAGCUAAAACUACAAACACGGUUGAUCCGCAAGUGGGUGUGACUCAGGUGGAGGAGCUGGAACAGGGACAAAUCCCGAAUCAGGUUGAGCAAGUGGCGGUCCAGACUGCAACUUUCGGGGUUCCACCAUUGAAGCGGGUCCGGAGACCCCUUUUUCAGGAACCAGAGAUAGCUUCACACUCUAGUCUUGUUGAUGAUGCAACUCUUGUAGGUGCAGAGUCACCAGCUGUGGAUACUGGUUUGGCCUCACAGACCACGGAUCCCGAUGCUGUGCCAUUGGCUUCAACCGAAGCAGCCCAUGAGGAUCAUUCGGUUCCAGCGGAUGAGACAGGUUCGAUACUGCGUCCGCAGGUCUCGGCAGCAGCAGGGAUAUUG